UACAGAGGUCUCAAGCGUUGUUCGGAUUCAUUGGGCGUAAAGGGUGCGUAGGCGGCGCGGUAAGUCGGGUGUGAAAUCUCGGAGCUUAACUCCGAAACUGCAUUCGAUACUGUAUGGCUAGAGUACUGGAGAGGUUGGUGGAAUUCUCGGUGUAGAGGUGAAAUUCGUAGAUAUCGAGAGGAACACCGGUGGCGAAGGCGGCCAACUGGACAGAUACUGACGCUGAGACACGAAAGCGUGGGGAGCAAACAGG
rnacentral:rRNA from 1 species